rnacentral:rRNA from 1 species
AACCUGGUUGAUCCUGCCAGUAGUCAUAUGCUUGUCUUAAAGAUUAAGCCAUGCAUGUCUAAGUAUAAGCAUUUAUACCGCGAGACUGCGAACGGCUCAUUAAAACAGUUAUGGUUUAUUUGAUGGUUCCUUUGCUACUUGGAUAACCGUAGUAAUUCUAGAGCUAAUACAUGCACGAAGGGGCGACUUACGAAGCCCUGUAUUUAUUAGAUUAAAGCCAACCACCUCCGGGUGCUCGUGGUGAAUCAUAGUAACUUCUCGGAUCGCCGGCUCUACGCCAGCGACGUGUCAUUCAAAUUUCUGCCCUAUCAGCUUUAGAUGGUAGGAUAUGGGCCUACCAUGGCGGUGACGGGUAACGGAGAAUUAGGGUUCGAUUCCGGAGAGGGAGCCUGAGAAACGGCUACCACUUCUAAGGAAGGCAGCAGGCGCGCAAAUUACCCAAUCCUGACUCAGGGAGGUAGUGACAAGAAAUAACAAUAAACCGGCUUAUGCCGGUUUAAUUGGAAUGAGUACAAUUUAAACAUCUUAACGAGGAACAAUUGGAGGGCAAGUCUGGUGCCAGCAGCCGCGGUAAUUCCAGCUCCAAUAGCGUAUACUAAAGUUGUUGCAGUUAAAAAGCUCGUAGUUGGAUUUCUGCGGGGGCGGGGCGGCCGAUCGCCACUGGCGAGCCGAGCUAGCACUUCCCCCGCAUCCUGCCGCGAACCGUGCUACCAUUAGCUUGGUGGCGCCGGGGAUCGGCUCGUUUACUUUGAGAAAAAUAGAGUGUUCAAAGCACGCCACACGCCUUGAAUAAGUUAGCAUGGAAAUAAUGAUAAAGGACUUCGGUUCUAUUUUGUUGGUGUUCGGGACUGAAGUAAUGAUUGAUAGGGACAGUUGGGGCGGUCCGUAUUCCAAAGCGAGAGGUGAAAUUCUUAGACCUUCGGAAGACGAACAGCUGCGAAG